AGUGAACGCUGGCGGCAGGCCUAACACAUGCAAGUCGAACGGCAGCACAGUAAGAGCUUGCUCUUACGGGUGGCGAGUGGCGGACGGGUGAGGAAUACAUCGGAAUCUACUUUUUCGUGGGGGAUAACGUAGGGAAACUUACGCUAAUACCGCAUACGACCUACGGGUGAAAGCAGGGGAUCUUCGGACCUUGCGCGAUUGAAUGAGCCGAUGUCGGAUUAGCUAGUUGGCGGGGUAAAGGCCCACCAAGGCGACGAUCCGUAGCUGGUCUGAGAGGAUGAUCAGCCACACUGGAACUGAGACACGGUCCAGACUCAUACGGGAGGCAGCAGUGGGGAAUAUUGGACAAUGGGCGCAAGCCUGAUCCAGCCAUACCGCGUGGGUGAAGAAGGCCUUCGGGUUGUAAAGCCCUUUUGUUGGGAAAGAAAAGCAGCAGGUUAAUACCCCGCUGUUCUGACGGUACCCAAAGAAUAAGCACCGGCUAACUUCGUG
rnacentral:rRNA from 1 species